AGGCCACUGGGCAUGCGGAAAGCCCACCCCAAGGGAACAAUCAGGGAAGAAGGAACGCAAGACGGUGGAAGCAUGCCAACCUAUUAAACCGCAAGUCAGAGAUCAAACCAUAGCAUUGCGAAGCUGAUCUCAGACAAACGCAGCCCAUGGAAGAAUGCUAAGUGCUCGUGAUUGGUUAAAACUCAAAUAAAAAGUUGAAGUGGAGACGAUAUAUACCUGUUCCAAAAUACAGAUCCUCAUUUGAAAAUGGAAAAAGAAAAGAAAUGGAGGCAUUGUGUGAUAUUUGCCUAAAUAUAACUAAAGAGAUCCAUUUAUUUUUAGUGUUUGAUUAAAAACCCUCAAAGGAAAAGAGAAAUUUUGAUCUUUGAGAAGAGCUGUUUCAUCACAGGGUGAAGUUGUUUCCUGAGCCCUUUGAUCUGAAAUGACCUUGCGACCUGGAACCAGCAGACAGCCUGAGGGAGGCAGUGCAUGUUCUGAGCCAGGGCCUCAGGAGGCCUGCAGCUGCCAUUCUGCUUCUGUUGGAACAUGACCUCCUUGAGAACACUCCCAGGCCUGACUGCAGGGUGGGGAGACCACACAGAGCAGAGCCGAGCCACCGGGAUGAGGCCCCUAGAUCACCCAGCUCCCAGCUGACCACAGAUCAUGAGUGAUCCCGUUUCUCCCUAGGUCAAGGGUGAUGUUUUGCUCAGAGAAAACUGAAGUUUGGAUUGUUCCAGUCCUGCAUCACAUCCUGUUUCAGGCUGCCCUAAAACAAAACCAGAAACAACCAUCACCACAAAACACCAUACCUUCAAUAGUCUUCUCAGUGUUCAGAAUAAAGGCUCUGGUUUUCCCUUGGGCUCAAUUUUCAUGAUUGUGUCUCCUUUGUCAAUAUGUUUUUCAUCUUCCUCACUUUCAAACUGCACUU
rnacentral:lncRNA from 10 species